rnacentral:rRNA from 1 species
GAUGAACGCUGGCGGCGUGCUUAACACAUGCAAGUCGAACGGAAAGGCUCCUGCUUGCAGGGGUACUCGAGUGGCGAACGGGUGAGUAACACGUGGGUGAUCUGCCCUGCACUUCGGUAUAAGCCUGGGAAACUGGGUCUAAUACCGGAUAGGACUAUGGUUUGGAUGCCAUUGUGGAAAGUUUUUCGGUGUGGGAUGAGCUCGCGGCCUAUCAGCUUGUUGGUGGGGUAAUGGCCUACCAAGGCGUCGACGGGUAGCCGGCCUGAGAGGGUGUACGGCCACAUUGGGACUGAGAUACGGCCCAGACUCCUACGGGAGGCAGCAGUGGGGAAUAUUGCACAAUGGGCGCAAGCCUGAUGCAGCGACGCCGCGUGGGGGAUGACGGCCUUCGGGUUGUAAACUCCUUUCGCUAGGGACGAAGCGCAAGUGACGGUACCUGGAGAAGAAGCACCGGCUAACUACGUG